rnacentral:rRNA from 1 species
GACGAACGCUGGCGGCGUGCCUAAUACAUGCAAGUAGAACGCUGAAGAGAGGAGCCUGCUCUUCUUGGAUGAGUUGCGAACGGGUGAGUAACGCGUAGGUAACCUGCCUGGUAGCGGGGGAUAACUAUUGGAAACGAUAGCUAAUACCGCAUAAAAUUGAUUAUUGCAUGAUAAUUAAUUGAAAGAUGCAACUGCAUCACUACCAGAUGGACCUGCGUUGUAUUAGCUAGUUGGUGAGGUAACGGCUCACCAAGGCGACGAUACAUAGCCGACCUGAGAGGGUGAUCGGCCACACUGGGACUGAGACACGGCCCAGACUCCUACGGGAGGCAGCAGUAGGGAAUCUUCGGCAAUGGGGGGAACCCUGACCGAGCAACGCCGCGUGAGUGAAGAAGGUUUUCGGAUCGUAAAGCUCUGUUGUAAGAGAAGAACGGGUGUGAGAGUGGAAAGUUCACACUGUGACGGUAUCUUACCAGAAAGGGACGGCUAACUACGUG